rnacentral:rRNA from 1 species
GAUCAUGGCUCAGGACGAACGCUGGCGGCGUGCUUCAUACAUGCAAGUCGAACGAGAAUCGAUAGCUUGCUAUCGAGGAAAGUGGCGGACGGGUGAGUAAUAUGUAGAGAAUCUGCCCUAGAGCGGGGGACAACAGCUGGAAACGGUUGCUAAUACCCCAUAUGAGCGUACUUGAGAUAGUAUUCUUGAAAACUCCGGUGCUCUAGGAUGAGUCUGCAUCUGAUUAGCUAGUUGGGGGUGUAAUGGGACCACCAAGGCGACGAUCAGUAGCUGGUUUGAGAGGAUGAUCAGCCACAAUGGGACUGAGACACGGCCCAUACUCCUACGGGAGGCAGCAGUAGGGAAUUUUGCGCAAUGGGGGCAACCCUGACGCAGCAACGCCGCGUGAUUGAUUAAGCCCUUCGGGGUGUAAAGAUCUGUCAGUGGGGACGAAACUUGACGGUACCCACAGAGGAAGCAUCGGCUAACUCCGUG